rnacentral:pre_miRNA from 1 species
AAAAAGACAAACCCUGGGUUUCCAUGCCAACGUUUGAUUGUCCGUCUUAUAUGAAAUUUUUUUAUAAUUAGUAUUUUCAUUGUUGUUAGAUGAUAAAACAUGAUUAAUACUUUAUACAUGACUUAUCUUUUUAAUUUUUUUCAUAAUUUUUUCAAAUAAGAAGAACAGUCAAACGUUGGACACGGAAACC